rnacentral:rRNA from 1 species
UGAGCAAUCUGCCCUUCUCUUCGGAAUAAGCGUUGGAAACGACGUCUAAUGCCGAAUACGACCUCCUUUCGCAUGAUCGGAGGUGGAAAGCUCCGGCGGAGAAGGAUGAGCUCGCGGCCUAUCAGCUAGUUGGUGUGGGUAAUGGCCCACAAGGCGACGACGGGUAGCCCGGCCUGGAGGAGGGUGACCCGGCCACACGUGGGACUGAGACACGGCCCAGACCUCCG